CCUUCCCUCCUCACUUCAUAUCCUCUUCUCUUGGAUCCCCUCUCUCGUCUAGCUCGCCGGGGGCACCGCCGCUCGCCAUUGCAACGCCGGUCACAGGAACCAGCGGGAUUCGCCAGCCCUCAGUCCGGAUCGACGUCCAUGCCUCCAGCUCCGACAUGCACGCCAGCUCGCCGUUGCAACGCCGGUCACAGGAACCAGCGGGAUUCGCCAGCCCUCAGUCCGGAUCGACGUCCAUGCCUCCAGCUCCGACAUGCACGCCAGCUGGACGGCGCCGUGAAUCGCCUCGUUUUCUGGUGCGUUCUUGCUCCUAGGUAGUUCCCCACUUCCCCUAGCUCCAUUUUUGUUCCUGCUGUCCCUUUAAUGGUCAUUCCGUGCCCCGGCGUGCAGGAACCUCUUCGACCGAGGCCGCCUUCCUCGGUUUCGUCGGCCGUCGCGGUCGUCAUCCUCACCGAACAGCUACAGGGACUGUGACGGGCUCCGCUUUGUCCACAUCUUCUCUGGACCACUGAUUCGAAGCCGUGGAUCCCUCCUACUUCUUCCUGACGCUGACCGCCAUUACCGCUGUCCAGAACUCGUUGCUCUGCUCUGUCCGACCUCGCCACUAACAGCAGGGUGAGAAAUCGCCGCCGCUGUUGGUGUUGUUUGCUACUUGCCGCUGUCGCUGCAUGCUGCUGGCCACUUGUUGCUUGCCGUUGAUGCUCGAUGAUGUUAGCCGUGACUUGCCUGUAGAUGAGAGAAAGAGAGAUUGAUUUGCUAGUGCAAGUAUCUAAUGAGCCAGAUGCCAGCUGGUUUGAUCUUUUCAGCAAACGCUAUUGGGAAGUUGUGAGUGUGGGGAGCGACACUGUUUUUGUUUCAGUAACUUGCUGGCAUAAAUGCUGUCGUGUACUACUCUACGUCCAUGUUCCACAGUACAGGCAUUGCAUCUAAUGUUGCAGCGAGUGCUCUUGUUCGGUGAUGCCAAUGUUUUUGGCACCAUGAUUGCAUCUCCACUGAUGGUCAAGCAAGGAAGGAAGAGCCUUCUCAUAACAAGAUUAUCUGGAAUGGUGCGUCGAUGUUACUCUUGACAUUGUCCUUCACCUGGAAGGCUUUAGCACCUUAUUAUGGCACUCUUGUUGUUGUUGGCACUGUCCUAUGCAUUGUGGCGGGAUAACUUACCUAUGUGCACUUGAAGAGGUGGCUAGAGUUAUCUUCUACCUUUCUCGAAGCAAUGCGAUAUCGAUAACCCCUAGCAUCGAAUUCCCCGCACUAACAUGGAGGAUGAACCCAGACCACACCCCCUCCCCCAAGCUGGUACAAGCCCUCAAGAAAACCAGACACAUGAAGAAAGCAAACCAACCAAGGCCAGCGGCGCAAGAGGCCGGGUAUAAAAAACCCUCCACAUCCGAAUGAGACCAACCGGCGAGUGCACUCCACAACCCAUCCAUCUAACCCUGCUACCCAGAGAAAAAACCACACAUGAACAUUAGUCCUUUAAAGGAUGUUGGAGUGCCCACCCCUGGGGCCUCGCCGCACGCAAGUGCCCUACCCAUCGUUCGUUGUGCCUAGGCCUCAUGCUGCUAGCUCCCUGGGCUCUCCAUGUCAUCCAAUCUAUGAGGCCUCUGCACACUAGACGGAUUGCCUUGGGGGUCUAGGACGGGUGGGCCUUGUGAGCGGCUGGGGCCACCUCUUCAUGGUGGUUCUUAUCGUGCAUGUGCGCGCCCUCUCACACAAUGCCCCGAGUGCGACACGUGAGCCAGGUCAUCUUGUUAGCAUCCUUCGGCCCCUGCCGGAGUGCUUCGCUUGCACAAGUACGGUCCGCGUGUGCGCCUGACACGAGUUCUGAGCAUUGCAUGCCCGGUCUUGCGAGCUGGGUGUGCUAAUCUGUCCAGGUGUCAUUAUGUGCGUGCCUUGUGAGUUGGGCCAGCCAAUCAAUGUCGUUGGUAGCAUGAGUCGGGCGCUCGCUUGGGCCCGACUCGGGGUCUGAUUAUUGCAUGCAUGGACUCGCGAGCUAGGUGCGCCCAUAUGGCCAUGUGUCGCUCUAUGUGAACCGAGCACGCGCAUGCACCCAGCUCAAGGUUUGAGCAUUGCAUGGUUUUAAAUAGAGGAUAGCAGGCUGGUAGCAGGUUGGGUUCCAUCUAGCUGACGAUAUUGCGGGUGCUAUGUCCAUGUAGCGGAUUUGUAAAAACACUAGAUCAUUGUGUAUAUUUCUAGAUCAUUAACAAAAAGUAAUGACAUUUAAUUUGAGAAAUAGCGUAUGCUAUUGCGGACGCAAUAGCGGAAGCUAUCUUCGCUAUUUGAACUAUGGAGCAUUGAAUGGUUUGCGAGUUGGGUCCGUCCGACUAGAUGGCGCUGCCGGGUGGGUGCUAGGGUGUACUACAUCGGUUACUCGUGGGCACUAUGUGUGGGGUGCUCGAGUAUAUAAUGGGAGUGGUAUUCAUCUUCCUGCUUGCCUCACACACAGUUCUCUUUUCGUUCGUGCCAAGGUUAUCUUCGAGCUUUCUCGACGUUGGUGUUUUGUCUGCCGGCGGCAGUAGUGGACCAUUAGUUUUUUGUGCGCUUCAGAGUUGGUCGAGGUAGGUUGUCUCUUCGCUGCAAUGCACAUGUUCUUUUGUGCCUCUUCUCCUUGCUCUCUGUCCUUUCCUUUCCUUCUCUUGGUUGCAGGUCCUCUGAGUGGUUGUUUGUUCUUUGUUUGUCAUGGUUUUGGUGUGCUAUUGUUUCCUGGGUAUUUCUUUAUUUGUGUUUUGAGAUCUAAUUCUCCCGAGCGCCCCGAGCGCUUUCAAUUCCUUGCGCCUUAACAUUUGCUUUAUACACCAUUCCAAGAUCGGGUGCUUCCUCGCCUUCAUGGUCCUGCUGAGUAUGGUUUCAGGGUCGUCGUGUUUUUGCAUGUCCGCCCAAAAGAUGGUGGCUGAGUGCGACCAACUCGAACAAGCGCUUGCCAUGUACAAAGAGUGGUUGUUCCUAUUUGUUCAUAGUCGUGAAGGGAACCAGAAACUCUUUGUGGAUCAUUCAUAAAGCAUGUUUUUCAUAAGUUGCUUCACAUUGUCUAAAAGACAGGCCGUUCCGUGCCAUUAAGAAGAUGACAUAGUCCAGAUGUCCUGGGUUGGUAGGCGCUGUUGGGUGGGUCCUCUGGGUGUAGUAUGUCAGUUCA